rnacentral:rRNA from 1 species
UACAGAGGUCUCAAGCGUUGUUCGGAUUCAUUGGGCGUAAAGGGUGCGUAGGCGGCGCGGUAAGUCGGGUGUGAAAUCUCGGGGCUUAACUCCGAAACUGCAUUCGAUACUACCGUGCUUGAGGACUGGAGAGGAGACUGGAAUUUACGGUGUAGCGGUGAAAUGCGUAGAUAUCGUAAGGAAGACCAGUGGCGAAGGCGGGUCUCUGGACGGUUCCUGACGCUGAGGCACGAAGGCCAGGGGAGCAAACGGG